rnacentral:rRNA from 1 species
AGAGUUUGAUCCUGGCUCAGGAUGAACGCUGGCGGUAUGCCUAUCACAUGCAAGUCGAACGGAAUCCUUCGGGAUUUAGUGGCGGACGGGUGAGUAACGCGUGAGAACCUACCUUCAGGACGGGGACAACAGUUGGAAACGACUGCUAAUACCCGAUGUGCCGCAAGGUGAAAGAUUUAUCGUCUGAAGAAGGGCUCGCGUCUGAUUAGCUAGUUGGUGGGGUAAGAGCCUACCAAGGCGACGAUCAGUAGCUGGUCUGAGAGGAUGAGCAGCCACACUGGAACUGAGACACGGUCCAGACUCCUACGGGAGGCAGCAGUGGGGAAUUUUCCGCAAUGGGCGCAAGCCUGACGGAGCAAUACCGCGUGAGGGAGGAAGGCUCUUGGGUUGUAAACCGCUUUUGUCAGGGAAGAAACGCCUUGGGUCAAUACCCCGAGGUAAUGACGGUACCUAAGGAAUCAGCAUCGGCUAACUCCGUGCCAGCAGCCGCGGUAAUACGGAGGAUGCAAGCGUUAUCCGGAAUUAUUGGGCGUAAAGCGUCCGCAGGUGGUCAGACAAGUCUGCCGUUAAAGCGUGGGGCUUAACCCCAUAAAGGCGGUGGAAACUGUCAGACUAGAGUUCGGUAGGGGUAGCAGGAAUUCCCAGUGUAGCGGUGAAAUGCGUAGAGAUUGGGAAGAACAUCGGUGGCGAAGGCGUGCUACUGGGCCGAAACUGACACUCAGGGACGAAAGCUAGGGGAGCGAAAGGGAUUAGAUACCCCUGUAGUCCUAGCUGUAAACGAUGGAUACUAGGCGUAGUCUGUAUCGACCCGGACUGUGCCGAAGCUAACGCGUUAAGUAUCCCGCCUGGGGAGUACGCACGCAAGUGUGAAACUCAAAGGAAUUGACGGGGGCCCGCACAAGCGGUGGAGUAUGUGGUUUAAUUCGAUGCAACGCGAAGAACCUUACCAGGGCUUGACAUGUCGCGAAUCCCCUUGAAAGGGGGGAGUGCCUUCGGGAGCGCGAACACAGGUGGUGCAUGGCUGUCGUCAGCUCGUGUCGUGAGAUGUUGGGUUAAGUCCCGCAACGAGCGCAACCCUCGUUUUUAGUUGCCAGCAUUAAGUUGGGCACUCUAGAAAGACUGCCGGUGACAAACCGGAGGAAGGUGGGGAUGACGUCAAGUCAGCAUGCCCCUUACGCCCUGGGCUACACACGUACUACAAUGGUUGGGACAAAGGGCAGCCAACUCGCAAGAGUGAGCGAAUCUCAUCAAACCCAGCCUCAGUUCAGAUUGCAGGCUGCAACUCGCCUGCAUGAAGGAGGAAUCGCUAGUAAUCGCAGGUCAGCAUACUGCGGUGAAUCCGUUCCCGGGCCUUGUACACACCGCCCGUCACACCAUGGAAGCUGGCCACGCCCGAAGUCGUUACUCCAACCG